GGAGAGGUGGCCGAGUGGUUAAUGGCAGCAGACUGUAAAUCUGCCCUCUUACGAGUACGCUGGUCCGAAUCUAGUCCUCUCCACCA
rnacentral:tRNA from 1 species